GCUACACUGUAGCACGUCGGCAAGCUGGUCAAAGAUUCUCUCAAGAGCUAGAGCACAAGGAUGAGCGAAGCACUUCAGCUUUAAUCGAAGCUCUGAGGCCAAAGCAGAAGAUGACGUAAAAGGUACCGGAGGAUGUCACCGUUCCUGAUUAAAGGUCUACCGGCGUCACCUGCUGCCAAAGAGGCUUUGUAAAGUAGUUUGUCUAGUCAAAGAUGCCAUUAGGGUUUCCUAGGGUUUCUUCCCCUGUAAGCCACCCUCUCCCCUAUAUAAGGAGAGGGAGCACACCCUAGCGCGAGACGAUUAA